UAAUCUUCGUUACUAGUGUCCCAAGAA
rnacentral:sRNA from 1 species